rnacentral:lncRNA from 1 species
GCAAUACGAGUAAAUCGACUACUGGCCUUGAGAGUUGGGGCAAUCUAAAAUUCUAGGUAAACAUUGAGCACUGAGCAGUGGAUGAGGGAGUGAAAUACAUGACCUAAUUUCUAAUCUCAGGAGCGACUAGCGAGAUACAGCACUAGCAGACUAUCACAUUCACAGACUUUGCCGACUUUGCCGCAUCAUGGAUGAUGGUUUGCCGACUUUGCCGCAUCAAGAAUCUGAAAAUCUCCCUGCUGAUGAAGUGGUAAGAUUCAGUUUAUUAAUUACAAUUGUUCUGUUUUUGUUGUAAUAUGCUAAUGCUCUGCUUGAGAUUAGUAUACUCCUGUUAUGUAUUAGUAAUUUAGUAGUCUUGUUAUUGUUUGUAGAUACAUGUUAAUUUGUCAAAUGAGGGAGUACAAACUGAUGAUAAACAAGAAGAGAUACGCGAUGAGAAAACUAAAAAGAGUUCGCCGGCUUGGGAUUAUUUUGUUAAAAUGGAAGGUUGUCCAGUUGGUAAAGAAAAAGCCAAAUGCCGGUUGUGUAACGUGAUAAUUGGAUGCUUUUCACGAAAUGGUACAUCGGCAAUGAUGAAUCAUUUGAAAACGGUAUGUCCUAAAUCACCACUUCGUACUAAUCUUGAUAAAUUGCAAAAGACAUUGCGGUUUGAAAAAAUAUCAAAGGAAGAUAAAUUUCACACGGUUAAAGCACACACCUUUAAUCAAGAAAGGUUAAGAAAGAAACUUGCCUUGAUGUGUAUCAAAGACAAUCAACCCUUUAAGAUUGUGGAACACGAAGGAUUUAGAGAGUUAUUAAAGGAUGCCGAACCAAAAUUUAAGAUGCCAAGUAGGUGGACGGUUGCUAGGGAUUGUCUAAAAAUAUAUGGUGAGGAACUAGUAAAAUUGAAAAAGAGCUUGGCCACUCAAAGAGUUUCCUUUACCACGGAUACUUGGACAUCGGUUCAAAACAUUAAUUAUAUGUGCCUAGCUCAUUGGAUUAAUGAUGAUUGGAAGAUGUGUAAAAGAAUCUUAAAUUUCCCACAAAUUGGAAGUCACCAAGGGGAUGCAAUAGGAAAAAUGCUACUUGAUUUAUUUGCACAAUGGGGGAUAGAUCGUGUAUUUACUAUCACAUUAGAUAAUGCUUCCUCGAAUGAUAAGGCCAUUUCAUAUUUAAAGAAAUUUUUUAGAGGACCGGAGGCUAUAUUGGAGAAUAAAUUUUUACAUAUGCGAUGUUGUGCUCACAUAUUGAAUUUGGUGGUGAAAGAUGGUUUGAUUGAACAACAUGAUUCAAUUGCUAGAAUUCGUAAUGCAACUAGAUAUGUGAGGUCUUCUUCGGCAAGACUUGAAAAAUUUAGAAAGUGUGUUGAAAGAGAGAAAAUUAAAUGUGAUAAAAUGGUAUGCCUUGAUGUAGAUACUAGAUGCAAUUCAACUUUCAUCAUGUUGGAGGUUGCGGUUAAAUAUGAGGGGGCAAAUUGUCAAUGUUGUAGUUUUUUAUUUAUUUUUUUAUUGGAAUAUGUUGGUGCUAUUAGACUUUUAUUUGGCAAUGUAUUUUAUAAAUCAAAUAAAAAGAUCAAUCACAAACACUUUUAUGAGAUGUACUUUAAUUAUUAUGUAUUUAUUUUGUUUUCAUGAUAUUUGAAAUUCAUCCAAUUAUACUGAAGUAAUCUUAGCUGCUAAACUAGUUUUUUUUUUAUGAAUUGGAUUUAGUAUUAUCUAAUUUAUAUUGCAUUAAUGAACAUUUUAUGAAUAUAAUCUAUAACAUUGGCGGGAGAAAAAUAGUUACCGUAAAUUACCAAAAAAAUGAAAAUUAAUUAACCUUUAUUGCUGGCAUAGAAGUAAUACAAGUAUAGCACUUUUGCAAAGGGCUAUACAAAAAAAAAAUUGCUUGGAAAACACUAACUUGCAUGGCACUUUAGAAAGCCUUAUCUAUUUAAGAUAAAAAAAUAAUUUUGACUAUAUUUUAUAAUUAUUAUAUCCAUCUAAAAAGUAAUAUCACUAUAUUUUAUGAUUAGUUGAUAAAAAUUUUCUGAAUAAGUAUAUUCAUCUUUCUUACUAAUUUGCUUUUUCAAACAAAACAUGUACUCGUCUCCCUUUUCAAUUGAGCUCGACCUUUAUUUGUGUAAAUUUCUCUGAUCUAUUUUUUAAAUAUUUAUCAUCACAUUAUCUUGUGUAAAAGUUUACGUCAAACCCCGGUUAAACUUAUGUCAUAUAAUUUAUAAAAAAAUGCUUAUUUUGACCCAACUUCAAAUUAUCAAGAUGUAAUUUAUUUUGAAAUGAGUGGUGCGAAUGACAUCAAAAAAAUUUAUCGGUGAUCCAUCUGAAGCAAGCGACCUAAUUGAUAAUUAAACCGACAAAUUUUAUUUAAGGCAAAUUUUCCAAUUUAUUUUAAAUCUUUAUCUAGGCUAUCAUUUCAGCCAAACAAGAGAUAACUACUUUCAGACCUUUCAAUUAUGACAAGGGUGCCCAUUUACAUUGUACAAUAUGCGGCCCAUAUAUCAAAGAGCAUUAUUUUAAUAUGGGAUUUUCUAGUAUAUGCGGGAAAUUUUUAGACAAGUGUGACGCCUGUGUGCACAAAAAUUCAUAUCAAUUUAAAAAUGAUUGUUAGUGUGCGUGCACAGUAAAAAUACCCUUUUUAUAUUUAUCCAUCUCACUGAUCUACCUCAAUGUCUAUCUAAAUAGUUUUUUUUUUUUUGUCAGGUAAAUAGUUUAUUUUUUAUUUAAAGAUUUAUUCUUUUUUACACACGUAUAUAAAUGUUCAUUUCUAUGUAUUUUUACAUAAAGGUAAUUGCAUAUCACACCUCUUAACUAUCGUUCAAAAACGAUAUUAUACCCAUAUUUAAGGAAACUCAACUCGCAUCCUCUAUAUUUAUAUUUCAAGAACGAUACCCACCCCUCCGUUAAAUUCCGUUAACUUCCGUGAAAAUACUCCAUCCGUCUCAAUUUACAUGUCUCUUUUGUUUUUCGAGAAGUCAAAUUGACUAAUAUUUAACCAACUAUUAGAAAAAAUAUUUUUUUUAAACUGAAAAAAUAUUUAUUUAUUAUUUUAGGAAAUAGAAAGUUACAUAUUAAAAUAGACUAGAUUUACUUUUUGAAGAUAUUUUUUUUAAAAUUUUUGUUUAAUUAAGUUAUCCCCAAGUCAAAUGAUUAAACAAAAAUAAGUAAAUUUAGUGUAUUUUAAUAUGUAACUUUCUAGUUCUUAAAAUAAUAAAUAAAUAUUUUUUAAUAGUUGGUCAAAAUUUAAUUAAUUUGACUCCUCUAAAAGCAAAAAGGGCAUGUAAAUUGAGACGGAGGGAGUAUUUUAACGGAAUUUAACGGACGGGGUGCAUAUAUUGUUCUUGAAAUGUAAAAAUAGAGAGUGCAGAGUAAAAUAUAGGUACAAUAUCAUUUUUGAAAGAUAGGGUGUAUGUAUUUAAGAAGAUACCAGAAGCAUGUCUUGUCUGCUGCCACAGUUCAAGUGUUUGCCUGAUUCUUUCUCUAUUCAUUUCAAAACCCAUCUUCAAUCUUUCCCUUCUCAGCCCUGUAAGUAUCUUUUUUAUAUAUCAUAUAAUACAUAUAGUUUGUGGUUAUGCGUGUGUUUCUUUUUAUUCACAGUGUAAAGUUUGAAUUUUGAUGAUUGCUAAUGUGUUAUGGAUUGAGAUGAAUGAUGGGUCUAUUUGGUUUUCGAGAAUUAUGUUAUCGAGUGUAUUGCAUUGGUGAUAUGUGAUGAAUGUGAAUAGAAUUAGAGUUAAUCUAAUUUUAAUUAUUGUUUCCAUGGAAUGAACUCUAAUGGCGAAAAUGGUAUCUUUAGGAAAUUUGGCACAUAUUGAUAGAGGCAGAACUCGUGUUUGAUUCAAUCACUUCCUCCUUUUUUUUUUUGCUAAAGAUUUUUUUGCAUUAAAGAAAAGAAAUAAUUACAAACAUAGGAGAAUUAAAAGAGAGUGUUGUACAACCACAACCACUCAAGCAGAAUACCAGAAUGAAUAGACUAAAUUAAUCUAGGAGACUAAACAUACUAAUACCAAAUAUUGUCAUCAUGGGCAAACAAAAAGGCAACCUGCCAGAGGGAAAAACUAGUUAUCAAGACUCCAUACAGAAAGAGAAGUGGUGCGGAGGCUCUCAACAGCAAACCAAGUAGAAGAAUGAAGCCGACACUUAAUUAAAUGGAGGCAGUUCGAAGCAAGCUUAGCAGGAGAUGAAUAUUCCUCGCUGAAAAAUCUACUAUUGCGUUCACGCCAAACAGAAUAAAUAAUGACUUGAUAGGCCAGAAUAGAAAUACAGCAUAGCACAGCGAUGAGAAAAAACCAACUGGAUGAUACAUUGAGUAAAGGGACAUUCAAGAAACAAAUGGUGGUUCGACUCCGUACCAUUAAUACAGAAAAAGCAUGCAUCAGAAGAGGUGACACCACGAUUAACCAGUUUAUCAGCAGUGCUAACUCAGUUAAGCAUAAGGAGCCAAUGGUGAAAAGAGAACCUAGGAACUCCUAAUUUAUGCCAAACAAAAGGAGCCCAGAUUGUAUUAUUCCCCCGACGCCGGAUAGAAUCCCAAAGAUGAGUAACACGAAUCUUGCUCCCACAGAUAUUAUCCCAGCAAAUUUUGUCACGUUGAGCAAGAUCAAAUUGAGUGCUAAAAUCGAAUUGAUUUUUCCAAACGACAAGCUCAUGGAAAUUAGAAUGAGGAAGCAUCCAACCUCCAGGGGAAAUGAUAUCGGCAACAACAGCCUCCUUGCCUAGUCCAGAUAGACUAAUUAGUUGAUUAUCAUAAGAAGAACAGAUGGGUUGCCUAUUAAACCAAGGUGCAAACCAAAGAGAAACAUCUCGACCAUUUCCGAUGGAGUAAGAGAUGUGUUGCAAGGCAAUAUCUCUGAGCAAAAAAAUUUGCUUAAUAAUCCAAGAAGCAUUAUAAGGGCAUUGCAUAGACCAUAACGACCCCUUAAUGAUAGUUUUUUUCACCCAGGAAGCCCAAAGAGAGGUGGUCCCACUUCCUUGGGCCCUUAGACACCAAUUCACUCAUGCUUGAUUCAAUCACUUUGAUUACAUUAUGUGCUUAGAGUUUCUAAAGCACGCAGUUACAAAAUUUUCAACUAUUGCCGGCUGUUAAAUUUUUUAAAUAUUUAUUUUAUUAAUUCAACUGUUUGGAUGUGAAUGUCAUAAAAAAAUAAGCGAGUUCCCAAAUUUUUGUGUUCCGGAUAGGCCAGCUUUUUUUAUAUUUAUUAUUUUGGGCACUUGCCCGCUAUUUUGGGAAUUGCGCCUGGGAAUGAGCACACAAAAUUGGAUUGAGUUAUUUGGUUGGACAAGUAACUGCAUAUGCUAGAUAUUGUACUCUUUAGGCUGUUUUAAAAUCAUGAACUCUGUGCAGUUAUUACUCCCUCCGUCCCAUUUUAGUUGUCACAUUUCUAUUUUUGUUGGUCAAAUUGACUAAAUUUUGACCAAAGAUUAUGAAUCACUCUUUCAAUAUUUUAAAAAACUGAAAAUUACAUCUUAAAAUAGAUUGAAAGUUAUUUCCUAUGAUAUUUUUUUUUAAUUUUAUCAAUUAAUAAAAUAUUAAUAAAUUUCAGUCAAACUUUAGUCAAUUUGACCGGCACAAAACCAAAUGUGACAACUAAAAUGGGACGGAGGGAGUAUUAUCGAAGGUUUGCCCACAUUCUUUUCAAUUUCAGCUUUUCCCAAAAUAGCUUGAUCAAUAAUGUAGAGGAAAUAAUUAUUUUAAAAUUUUCCUCAGUUCUCAUAUUAACCUUUUAUCUCCGACGAUGUACACAUAUCUUCACUUGUUUUUUCAUCAAAAAAAAUGCCUUUUUUUUGUGAACUAUACGCUUUUUAACAAGUAUCGGUUCAAUUUCCACCCUAUUGGAAAUCUCGGUAGCUUCAACCAUAACUUACUGAAAUCCAACUGAUAGGGUAUAUAUUUACAUAUAUUCUAGAUGAUUUUAUUCUCAUAUUUAAUUGUAUUUUGCAUUGAAUUGGAUAUUUAUUUAAUAGAUUUUAAUGUUUUAUUGCAGGAAGCAAGGAGUUCCUAAACUUGGAGGAAAUUGGAAUAAAAAGCUUAAUUUGAAGAUUAAUUAGAAGGAAAUUCGGAUUUGUUGAAUUGCUUGCACUUGAAUCACUGUUUGGGCCAUAUCUUGAGUUCUAGAAGUCAGAAUUGGGUGAUCUUACAGCCCACGCGAAGCUUAGAGAAUUUUCUUUAAUUCAGAGGUGGUCCAAUAUCCAAAAUCCAACAGAAUCAGCCCAGAAACAGGACAGAAUAAUCUGCUGCGAAUUUUCUUUGGAGAAUCCAAUUCCGGUUUGGGAAACUGUUUUGUAUUUCCUUGUAAGCAUUAAAAUCAUAUAUAUUUAUAGGGAUAGACAUUAGAGAGGGAGGAGAAUUGUAUUGUAUAAUUAGGUUAGGUUAAAAACACUUUGUCUCUUCUUCUUCAAGACUUCAGGAUUGAAGAAUUCAUUGUAAUAUCCAUCUUUAUUUUCUUUUAUUUUAUUAUGCUAGAGUAGAUUUUAUUCUGGGAUUGAGUUGAACCCUAGUCGUGGUUGAUGCAUGAUUUUUGAUGAUCUCUGGUUGAUUAUGUUAUUUGCUCUUGCUUAUUGAGUUGUGCUAAUUAACAAUUACAGGUCAGACGUGAUUAUGUGUAUUGUUUGAACCGAUAUCUAUCUACCAUCGGAAGUUGGAUUUAGAUGGUUGUGAUUUAUCCAAUAAGGACAUGAACUUCUCCAUGGAAAUAGGUAGAAGGAAUUGUUUGGAAGUUAGGAUGCUGUGUUUAAUGUCUCUAAACUGCAUGAUACCAUGGAAAUAGGCUUGAUUGUAUUUUAGAGAAGCCAUUAAUACUCGGAAGAGGUUAUUGGUAUUUUAUAGGGCGCAUCUUUCCUCUUGGGUGAUUUAUCUGAUUAAUUGGGGGAGAAAAUCGUAAUUGCAUUAAUUCAUGCUAGUGGGGAUACUUGAUUCUAGAUAUUUUUAUUUAAUUGUUUUCUAGAUUUUAUUUGUAUUAGUAUAAUAUUAGUUUAAUAAUCUCCAUAUUUUUAUUGUGUUACUUGUUAGUUGGAUUGAAUCAAGAAUAACUAGUGUUUGAUACGUUUGUCUCUGUGGGAUCGACUCUGACUUACCCUACUACAUAGUUAGGAGGUUUGGUUAGAUAUUUUAUUAUUUGAUAGGCACGCGACAGCCUUGUCAAAUUUUUGGCGCCGCUGCCGGGGACAAAGCGGUAUUAGAUUAGUUUGUUUUUGAUAAGAUCCGACUAUUUUUUUUUUUUAUUAUUAUUGCUUCGGCUAUUAUUCUUGUUCCGUUUAAUCCUUCACUUGUGGUUUUUCUUGUGUUUGCAAUAUUUGUGUUUCAGGUUUCUACGAUAAGAAAAUAAGCGAGUGAAUGGAGGAGGAAGAAGAAAGCAUGGAAGCACUGACUAAGGCUAUGCAUUCAUUAUCUCGGACAAUCGAUGAAAUCAAGUCUAUACCUUCAUAUUUGGUUACUACUUGUGAAGUUUGUGGUAUGCGGGGACACCAUCGAAAUUUUUGCCAAUUCAACACCCCUUAUUAUCCAAACCAAGCACCUUAUUGGGAUGGUAAUUUCGAUUACACUACCAAUUACAACUCUAACCAAAUACCACAGUACAAUCCAUAUCCUAGCACAUACAACUCUGGUGGGGAAUAUUAUCCUAAUUUUUCCUACCAAAACCACUCACAUCCACCACAAAAAUCUAGCUUGGAAACUGCCUUGGAAACUUUUAUCUCCGAAUUUUCUCAAAGUCAACCAUUUAAUCCUCAGUUUGACGAGAUACAAGUUAGUCCAUGCCAAGCUCAAUUACCUGAAAUCAUUUACCCUCAACCACCACAAAACUCCAACUUGGAAAUUCUUUUGCAAGAAUUUAUUUCAUCACAAGAGAAAAAGAAUGAAGAGUUUAAGACACAUCUCAAUAAGAUGCAAGCUCAUAUGGCGCAAAUGACUCAACAGGUAACUCAACUCGUAGAGAUGCGCACUCAAACGGAUAGAGAACCUACGAGUCAAAUUAAUGAUGCAACUUUGUGGAAUGGUGGGGAGGUCAAAGAGUCUACAAACGAGGUCAGUAACAGUAAGAUAAUUUUUGAUUACUUUGAUGAUGAAGAUGAUGAUGAUUUUGAAAAUCUUACCCUUGUUGAUCCUUGUGUUUCUCAAGAAAUUAACUUAUGUGAAAAAUCUUGUGAUAACAAUGAUGUUGAUUUCUUAGAUGACUCUUUAUACAUGCUAUUUGAUGAGAGUGAUAAUAUAUCUGUGGUGGAAAUUAAUGCGGAUAAGGAUAUUGUGAAUUCAAUUUUGGUAGAUGAGAUAGAAUCAAUUUUGGAUGAGAUUGACUCAAUUGAUGUUAAGAUUGAGAAUAUGUAUAUGCCUUUUGUCGAUCUGAUUUGGGAGGAAUUUGUGAAAAGUAACUAUAAACCUGUUAGUGAUAAUUUCUCUAAAUACUUUCACAUUCCCAAAUUUAUUGAGCAUCAUAUAUGUCUUAUAUGCCAAUUUAUAUAUCUCCUUCGUAAUUUAAUUGUUGCUCAAAUGAAUAGAUUAAUUGAAAUUAGGAGAUAUGUACAUUUGUUUGCUUUUUCACCCCAUUGAUAGAUAUUAAUUAUUUAAAUAAGUCGAGCUAAUGACAAUAAACAAGCGCUUCUUGGGAGGCAACCCAUGAUUUUUAAGGUUAGUCAUUUUUUAUUUUAAUUUUUGUUUUUUUUAGAUUAGAAAUUUUUAUAUUUACUCCCUCAAAUUGCCUUGAUAAUUUUUGUGAAGUGUUUCAGAAAAGAAAAGAAAGCUCAAGAUUUGAAGAGAAAGAAAAAAAAAAGGUAAAAAAAAAAAAUGGAUCACAGGAGAUUUCAGUUCUUUGAUUGGCGGAACAGUGCUCCAAUACGCCCGUCUUCGUUUUCAAGAACGGCCGUCUUUGUCUUCUGUUUUCUGCGCUCACAAUAGCUACCGUUUCAGCCCAUUUCUGGCCCAGCCCGCUACAUUAGAUUGAGUCUGCUUCAUCUGUUGCUGGUCAAUUUCACGUCUGCUUGGGCCCAUUUUACUGUUCCAGUUCAUUACACCUUGCAAGCCCAGUCCGCGAUCAAAUCCAUUCGAGUGCAGCUAAGAUUUUGAGCCCAGUUGACAAGCCCAAACUGAGUAGUAAAAAUAUUUGCUCAAGGUGGGGAUUGAACCCCGUACCUCCAUAAUAAAAGACCAACACUUCAACCAUGUGCUUUCUGAAAAUUUAUGCUGUCACUCAAGAUAGAACACUUCAGGGGAGUUUCUUUUUCUAAUUUCUUUUUCUUUCUUUUCUUCUUUUCUUAUUAUUAUAUUAUAUAUUACAUAUUUAUAUAUUAUUCAUUGAGGACAAUGAACCAUUUAAGUGUGGGGAUGAGUUCUUAAUGAAUGAAAAAAAUCAAAAAAAUAUUAUAUAUGAUUAAAAUUAAAAAAAAUUAGAAAAUUAGAAAAAAAUUGCCUUGUCUUAAAUUUAGGAAAUUCAUGUAGUUGCAUUAGAUUAGAGCAUGUAGUUUUUUUAGUAGUUAUUUGUUUAUUUUGUUUUCUUAUUAGUUUGCAUUUGCAUAAUUCAUGGAAGUAUAUAAUACCGAGUUAAUUUCUCGUGAUGAUUUUAUUUGCACAAAUUCUUGGCUAGUAGUCUUGAUCAUAUGUGAUGUCUUGCAUGCUUAGAAAUUGUUUGUGCGGAAUUUUAAUUACACUAAAAAAUGCUCUAGAGAUGAGACUUAGGCUAACUUAAUUCUUGAGUUUUUGCUAUGAGUCGAGCGUAGAAUUUUGACUAUUCUCUUUUGAGCUUAGAGUAUGUAAAUCUUAAGUUUGGGGAAGCUGUGGGAUGUAUAUGCCUUUCUUGAAAAAAAAUAGAAUAUUAAAAUAAAGUAUCGAGUACUCCUUUGAGAUCAGUGGGUGACAAUUUAAUGUCAUGUGAAGGGGACGAUCCAUGUACCUGUGCUGGUAUUAAGUGCAAUGGUAUUAGAAAUAAAAAUUUCUUGGUGACUUUUCACAAACCUUGGUUACUGGAGAAUUACUCGACUUCAAAAAAAAAAUGAGAAAAAUAACGAGCUUGCGAAGUCUUAUAGUGGUCGUAACUCACUUACCCUGAGAAGCGUCCCAACCUUAGACCGAGUAUGCGAAAAAAAAAAAAGAAAAAAAAAUAUAUGUAUAAGAAAAAUAAGAAGAGAGGCAUAGAAGUUCCUUUGUGACCCUGAGCUAUAGUUGACUCUAAUGGAACGAAGUGUUUAAGCCUUAUUCUCAUUAACGGCUCAUGGUUAAGACUCUGUUGAAGUUUGUUUGUCUCUGUUUUAUUUUAUUAGAGAGCAUGUGAGCAAACAUGAUGCACUCCGUACUUGCAGUGGAAAAGUUGCAUGACUAAUAUGUGAGAUAGAUGAAUGCCUUGAUUGUUGCAUAUUCUGAAGAUUAUAUAUUGACAAAGUUAAUGCUUUCAUGAUUAUAUAGGCAUAUUCAUUUAGAUUGCAUUCAUAUUAGUUGCAUGUUUGAGACUUGGCAGAAAAAAAUUGGAUUUUGUGGGUAUAUCUUCUAUAAACCCUCACGAGACAAAACUCGUCCUACUAGGGCUGCCUAGGGGUUUAACGGCUUGUUGCAUGCGCUCAAUGCAAUCGUGUCAUCUACGAAAACGGUGUUAGGUAGUUAGUAUAGAUAUUUUUAUUUCUUUUAUUUGCCCGAGGACGUGCAAAAGUUAAGUGUGGCGGAUGUUUGAUAGGGUAUAUAUUUACAUAUAUUCUAGAUGAUUUUAUUCUCAUAUUUAAUUGUAUUUUGCAUUGAAUUGGAUAUUUAUUUAAUAGAUUUUAAUGUUUUAUUGCAGGAAGCAAGGAGUUCCUAAACUUGGAGGAAAUUGGAAUAAAAAGCUUAAUUUGAAGAUUAAUUAGAAGGAAAUUCGGAUUUGUUGAAUUGCUUGCACUUGAAUCACUGUUUGGGCCAUAUCUUGAGUUCUAGAAGUCAGAAUUGGGUGAUCUUACAGCCCACGCGAAGCUUAGAGAAUUUUCUUUAAUUCAGAGGUGGUCCAAUAUCCAAAAUCCAACAGAAUCAGCCCAGAAACAGGACAGAAUAAUCUGCUGCGAAUUUUCUUUGGAGAAUCCAAUUCCGUUUGGGGAAACUGUUUUGUAUUUCCUUGUAAGCAUUAAAAUCAUAUAUAUUUAUAGGGAUAGACAUUAGAGAGGAAAAAGAUAUAGUAUUGUAUAAUUAGGUUAGGUUUAAAACACUUUUGUCUCUUCUUCUUCAAGACUUGGAGGUUGAAGAAUCCAUUGUAUAAUCCAUCUUUGCUUUUCUUUUAUAUUAUUAUGUUAGAGUAGAUUUUAUUCUAGAGUUAAGUUGAACCCUAGUCGUGGUUGAUGCAUGAUUUUUGAUGAUCUCUGGUUGAUUAUGAUAUUUGCUCUUGCUUAUUGAGUUGUGC